GCUGGGUGUGGUGGCGCACACCUGUAAUCCCAGCUACUCAGGAGGGUGAAGUGGGAGGAUCUCUUGAGCCCAGGAGUUCAAGGCUACAGUAAGCCAUGGUUGUGCCACUGUAUUCUAGCUUGAGCAACAGAGUGAGACCCUGUAUCUU
ensembl:misc_RNA Metazoa_SRP Metazoan signal recognition particle RNA